UGACACAUCUUGUUGAACAGGGUGGUUCAAGACGAGGUAGAGUAGUUUAACGCGUGCCUCGUCUAUAAAAUACCUCGUGAAUUGCUGGAAACUCUUUAUGGUUUAAGUUAUUCAUUACCUCUAGAUACUUAACUAAAGGUGAUAUAAAAAUGAUAAAACCAUAUGAUGCAUCUGAAAUACAAAAAUGUAAAAUAUGUCAUUUUCAAUUAUCUUCAUGCAUCAUACAUGACUUACUGGCUACAACGUAACUGGAAACGGUAAGCGUGAAUGCUAGAAAACAGUAAGUGGAUAAAGACAAUCAGCAGCCAAGCUCCUGUUAUGGAGAAGGUUCAACGACCAUCGAAAACACGUCAUACAUGGCGGAAGUGAGUAGAGUAGGGAUUAAGUAAUCCCGAAGUGCGAGGGCGCUCAGGAAGAGUGUAAGAUAUGGUCUGAACUCUAAGGUGACUUAGAG
rnacentral:ncRNA from 1 species